rnacentral:rRNA from 1 species
AUUGAACGCUGGCGGCAUGCCUUACACAUGCAAGUCGAACGGUAACAGGUCUUCGGAUGCUGACGAGUGGCGGACGGGUGGGUAAUACAUCGGAACGUGCCCGAUCGUGGGGGAUAACGAGGCGAAAGCUUUGCUAAUACCGCAUACGAUCUACGGAUGAAAGCGGGGGAUCUUCGGACCUCGCGCGGGCGGAGCGGCCGAUGGCAGAUUAGGUAGUUGGUGGGAUAAAAGCUUACCAAGCCGACGAUCUGUAGCUGGUCUGAGAGGAUGAUCAGCCACACUGGGACUGAGACACGGCCCAGACUCCUACGGGAGGCAGCAGUGGGGAAUUUUGGACAAUGGGCGAAAGCCUGAUCCAGCCAUGCCGCGUGCAGGAUGAAGGCCUUCGGGUUGUAAACUGCUUUUGUACGGAACGAAAAGCCUCUUUCUAAUAAAGAGGGGUCAUGACGGUACCGUAAGAAUAAGCACCGGCUAACUACGUG